GAUUUGGGGUUCUUAGUUUUGUGGUCCGAAAGCUUUAUUUAUUUAUUUAUUUAUUUAUUUAUUUAUUUCACUUAUUGCAAAGUAUUUCUAUCUCUCCUUCCAUCCAAAGGUGUCCGUGUGGGUCACAUAUGCUUUCAGAUAAAUGAGACAUAGUUUAAACAGUACCCUAGUGCCAGCCUCGCACAGAAUGCUGGGAGUUGUAAUUCAGAAACAUCUGGAGGUGCAUCCUGCCUUUAUGGUGGCUGGAAUAUCACCUCCUCCUAUGGGGCAAAAAACCCAAAAACAGUACCUUCCGCAUUAGAGUGGCACAUCUUCACAGAAUGGACAUAUUUUCAAAUAGUAAGGACUUCUCAAAUAUUUAAUAUAAAAGCAUUUAAAUUUCAUAAAAAUUAGUUUCAAAGGAAUUCCCAUACUGAACAGAGAAAAGGCUAAGAUGUAACACCUAAGGGUAACAUUUCCNGAUGUGUCUGCACUGUACCUGUUGAUAAAUAAUUUCAGCUCAGCUGUGCUUCCAUUAAGAACGUUUGAAGUUUUUGAAUUUGUUUCUACCACUCUGGAAUAGUAGUAAACAGCAAACGUUCAGAAAAAGACUCUUGGCGUGUGUGCCCUCCGUGCUGACCCAUAAUGUAUCUUCUGCUGUUGCCAAAUCUAUUAACUGUUGAAUUUGAAAAGCGUGAUAAUACUUGCUGAUGUCUGACAGACUUCAGUCUCUCCUCUGGGUUUUCCUCUGUAGCUGAGGGAAGGGGAGUCUUGGCAUUUUACUUUGAAAACCAAAGUUGCUUAAAACUUUUCUCCAGGACUCUCGAGUCUGCACUGGAAUAUACCAAGGGGAAACAUGGCUCAGAAAACAACGCGCUCCGCUAUGAACACCGAGCUCUCAAUAGGAUAUUUGGCUUUUUAAGUUCAUUGCUGGAUUGUACUUUUCCCUGGAGAACUGGUGUGCAGGCAUUGUUCUUGUUUCCAGUGCCUCUGUAUGGGCCUGAUCAGGCUUGGCUUCCAUACUGGCAGUAUUUAUUAUGAAUGCAAACCUCUGGAGGAUGCAGAGCAUAGAGCCACUGUGAUGUGUCUCAGGACAUGGAUGAAUCUGUUUGAAGGACCAAAAUGAAGCACCUCCAUUUUGUUUUCAGUGUGCAGUAUUCACUGCUUUGCCCCGUCUUCCUCACAACGGGUCUUGUCAGGUCCUGGAACUUGCAGUGACACUUUUUUUGAGGGUAUUGUUGACAUUUCUCAUCCUUUUUAACACAGCUGUUUUUG
rnacentral:lncRNA from 1 species